AUUGAACGCUGGCGGCAGGCCUAACACAUGCAAGUCGAACGAGGGGCGGACGGGUGAGUAAUGUCUGGGAAACUGCCCGAUGGAGGGGGAUAACUCCUGGAAACGGUAGCUAAUACCGCAUACCCUCGGAUGUGCCCAGAGGGGAUUAGCUUGUAGGUGAGGUAACGGCUCACGUAGGCGACGAUCCCUAGCUGGUCUGAGAGGAUGACCAGCCACACUGGAAUUGAGACACGGGCCAGACACCUAUGGGAGGCAGCAGUUGGGAAUAUGUCACAAUGGUCGCAAGUCUGAUACAGCCCUGCGGCGUGUAUGAAGAAUGCCUUCGGGUUUUAAAGUACUUUCAGCGGUGAGGCGUUACCCUCAGAAGAAGCACCGGAUAACUCCGUGCCAGCAGCCGCGGUAAUUC
rnacentral:rRNA from 1 species